GGCCUGGUGGUCUAGUAGUAUGAUUCCUUCUUAGGGUUCGAACAUCGUUCGAAGCGAUUGGAGGAGGUCCCGGGUUCAAUUCCCGGCCAGGCCC
rnacentral:tRNA from 1 species